UAGCUUACUUGCUCUAUAUAUAUAUAUAUAUCAACCUUUGUGUUUGUUUUCAUGUUGGUGUAUGCAGUUCUUAGUUUGUGAGCUGGACUUAAUUCUUUUUCAGUUGUGUUGGUUGUAGGUUUGUUGUUCGAAUAAAGUUAGCGUGAAUGGAUGGUGUUGAAACAGGCCAUUUUCAUCAAAUAACAUGGUUUCGGCCACCGGAGCAGCGGCCCAUUAGGACAGUCGGGCCGACGAUGAAAAAGUGUGCUGGAGAUGGCGGUAUACAUCACAUCCGACAGCUAGAAACGACCCGAUCGUCAAAUUGGACAGCUAAAAAAGCAAAACGCUGAUAGGGCUCGCUUUAGGUUCAGUUUUACUGUCCUAAAUGUAUUCCUACUUAUAAUUUUUUAAGGAAAAUUGUACUAUUAUAUUUUUAU